UCGCUGCUGCGCUCUAAUCCACGUAAGUUUUGGAGCAUCAUUAGCGGAACUACAACGCGACAUAUCCAAUUAAUACAGUCUGAUGUCCCAGUCGCUCUUAGCGAGUGCUGCAACGUUCUGAGUAAUGUAUUUGCUGCACACUUUCAGAACAGCAUCCCAACUAUAUUUCCACAGUUAACAAGCACCGAUUUCUUGCCAAUGGACCCUAUUAUCAUUGAUGCAGUUGGUGUCGAAAAACUUGUUGGAAACUUGACAGUGUCAUCAUCAGCUGGUCCAGAUUGCAUUUCGUCAAAAAUGUUGAAGUGUACUCAAGUCUAUUCUUCUUUAAUAUUGUCAAAACUUUUUGAACAGUCAUUACAGACGUCCACACUGCCAUCUGACUGGAAGACUGGGAAGGUGGUCCCUGUGCAUAAAUCUGCCAUUUGAAGGACGCCCUGUUUCAUCCACCUCGCUUCAUAUCACCAAGGAUGGAUCAUCGCUUUAAGGUGGGCCUACCAUCCUGUCGCACCAGACUAUAUAAUGAUUCAUUCGUGCCAAGGACAAGCGCCGCCUGGAACCACCUUCCCGCCUCCAUCGCCUGUAUAACGGACCAAAAAGACUUCAAGCUCGCCAUACAUGAUGCCCUGUAGAAUUUUUCUUUUUUUUCCUGUUUUCUGUUUUUUUUUUUUUUUUUUUUUUUAACUUUUUAACUGCACUUACGAUUGUUCAAACCACUCCUUUCUGUAGUGCCUUCGGGCCUUGAAAGUACCUUUAAUAAAUAAAUAAAUAAAUAAA